rnacentral:ncRNA from 1 species
AUAAAAACAGUGAAAAGGAAAAGUAAAAAGUUUACUGAUCUAAGAGAGGAAAAUUCGUCGGCUGCAAGAUUUUCUGUUUAAGCACUUUUGAAAACCACCUUUGAGUUGAAUAUUGAAAUAAUAGUAAGUAUUUUCCGCUUUUCUGGCGUUAUAGUUAAUGAGAUAACAAUAUCUAGAUUUAUAUUGUUAAUUUGGGUGGAACCGCGACGUUUACUCGUCCCAUUU